UGCAGCCGAACGCCUCUUCUCCCCCGGAGCUUGCUCCACCGGGAAAAGAGGAGUGGCGAACGGGUGAGUAACACGUGGGUAACCUGCCCAUCAGAAGGGGAUAACACUUGGAAACAGGUGCUAAUACCGUAUAACAAUCGAGACCGCAUGGUUUCGUUUUGAAAGGCGCUUUACGGUGCCGCUGAUGGAUGGACCUGCGGUGCAUUAGCUAGUUGGUGAGGUAACGGCUCACCAAGGCCACGAUGCAUAGCCGACCUGAGAGGGUGAUCGGCCACAUUGGGACUGAACACGGCCCAAACUCCUACGGGAGGCAGCAGUAGGGAAUCUUCGGCAAUGGACGAAAGUCUGACCGACAACGCCGCGUGAGUGAAGAAGGUUUCGGAUCGUAAAACUCUGUGUUAGA
rnacentral:rRNA from 1 species